UACGUAGGGUGCGAGCGUUGUCCGGAAUUAUUGGGCGUAAAGAGCUCGUAGGCGGUCUGUUGCGUUGUUCGUGAAAACUCACAGCUUAACUGUGGGCGUGCGGGCGAUACGGGCAGACUGGAGUACUGCAGGGGAGACUGGAAUUCCUGGUGUAGCGGUGGAAUGCGCAGAUAUCAGGAGGAACACCGGUGGCGAAGGCGGGUCUCUGGGCAGUAACUGACGCUGAGGAGCGAAAGCGUGGGGAGCGAACAGG
rnacentral:rRNA from 1 species